UCUCAACUCUUGCAACUCAUUCUGUGUUACAUUGACACGAGUGAAUUCCUGCAACUCGGAUGUAUAUCCUUCUGCCAAGCUAUCCCCUUUCUCCGAUUGUAACUUCUCUGACCAUACAUAGACGGCUGCAUUAUCCUCAACUUUAUUAAGAAAUUUAUUUUCCAUGUCAAACUUUCUAACUUAGUAAUCGAAUACGAAUCAACACCUCAUUUAGUAUGUAAUGUCAUGC
rnacentral:lncRNA from 1 species